AUUUAAAUAGUUUAUAUAAAAUAUUAAUUUGUGAUAUUAAAGAAAACUAAGUUUUUAAAUU
rnacentral:tRNA from 1 species